AAAUGUGAUCCAGAAACAAGUCGUGGCCUGUGCCCUGCCAAGUCUGUAAUUAAGACUGGGGGUGUGCUGGGCAGUGACACAUUCCCAUCUGUGGGGUUCUCAGCAAGUUCUGUGCUGUUUUUGGAGUGGAGGCGCUGGAGGGCAGCAGAGAAAGGGUGCAGCUGAGCUCUCCAGGAUGUGGAUGGGAUUUCAACCCAGGAGGAGAGAGAGAUAAGAAAUUGCAAGGGACUUCUAUCUUUGGCCCAGCCCUGAAGGGAGCCCGAGGCAGUCUGGCUGGAAGGAAGACACUGGCUGACCUGAAGUCCCCUCUGGAUCAUCUCUGAACUGAAACUCAACUCCUGAUUUCUGGUGUCCCCUAGACCAGGAGCAGCCACUCUAGACACCAACAUGAGUGAGAAUCUGCUGCCAGGGAAAACACAUGGGUACAGUGCACCUGCAGGGCCUCUACGGUAGGUGGGCCUGCAUUAAGGGCUGUGCCUUCCUCAGGUGCCCUCUGCUCUCCUUCACCCUGGACCUGGUGAACUCCAGCAGAAGAGGGCAGGGCUGGUCAUGUGCAGAGGGAAGGCAAGGAGUAUCGGGGCCUCCAAGGCAGCUGGGGCUGCAGGUAGCUGCUGCUGGGUGGUCUCUAGGACACUGUCUGCUUGUGAGGGAGCCGAGAGCACAGCUAGGGUUACCCGCACACCGGGCAUUUCCUAGCCCACACCACCCACCUCCGUGGAGCCUGCUAAGCCUGCAGAAGCCAGCAGUAAGCUGUACCUCCUGAGUCAGGGCUGGGGCCCCACAGUGGGAGACCAUGUUGGCCUUCCGUGCCUCUUCCUCCCCCUCUCCCUUUGCUCUCUCUUGCAGCACCACUAUUGCAUUGUAGAUGCUGUUGACUUUGCACUUGACGAGGCCUAUGAGAGGUUCAACUGGCAUUUUGGCAAGAAGGGCCAGGAAUGUACUUUCACGGUCUACUUCCAUUCCAGCCACAUCACUGACACCUUGGAGUGGAGACAUCCUGGACAACAAGAGCCUGGAAAGGACUACUGGUACUAUCAUGCUUGGUAACAGUGGGGUGAGUAGUUCCAGACAACACCUUAUCAGUGCGGUAUUUGGCCCCGGGUCACACGGCUGAGGUUCAGCUACAAAUAUCCCUUCCUAGUGUUCAUUCAGCCAUGCCACAGGCAGGAGGUCUCCCUGAGUGAGAGCGUGGUUGGGGUGUUGGGAAUGUCACCUGGGCAGGUGAGUUAGGCAGGGAGACAAGCUCUGGGCUGCUUUUGACUUUGAGCAAACAGGCUGGCUAUGUGACCCUGGGAAGAUCCCUUAACCUCUCAGCUUUGCUUUUUCUUGAGCACUAGGAGUAGUAAACUGUGCUCCAGAUGCUGAAAUCACUGCCUUUGGGUCACACCUGGGUUAGAGGUUCUGCCUUGUGUUCAGCAAGAAUUUUUCUUUCUGUUUGACAACAAAACUCCCUUUUUGUGGUGAUGGUGAUGAUGGAUGAGGAUGUUUUGGGAAAUCCAGGCCUAGGGGUACUUCAUGCUCUGAGACCCUGAGAUGGUUGCCUGUGAGGUGCACCUUGGACCUAGGCCUGAGUAGACUGCUCAGUGCUCCUCCCACAGCAUCACAGAGCUCAGCCCACCAUGGCGCCAAGGCAGGGCCACCAGAAAAUGCUGGUCCAAACCCCACACUUCAUCGUAAACCAUCCACACUUACUGUGGUUCCUCAUAGGCGUGGAACAAAAGACAGCCUCUGAGUCUCCUCUGUCUUAAAACCUCACUGCUCCAGCAGCCCCUAGGGCCCAGCUCUCCCUGCUCUUCCUCCAAGUAAGCAAACCCCAGCUUCUGCCCUUGCUCUGUGCCCUUCCUCAGUUUUGCCCCUAGGGACCAGGCUUAGCUGAGCAAGUGGCCAGCAAGAGGAGGGCAGGAUCGCUCCUGCUGUUCCUCUCUCCCAUCCUGCUUUCCCAGCUUGAAGCAGGAACCAUCCCACUCUGACCUAAGUCAUAACUACCUCCUGAGGCUUGUUAUUUUCUGUGGUUUGAAAGAAGCUUCUUUAAAAAAAUCAAAAUAACUUGCAUCUGUGUAGCUUUUCCAAACUUCAAAGUCUGCUCUUGAUCUUACUUGCCUUGAAGUCCUGAGUCUGGACAGAACGUGGUCAGAGACGUGUUGCACAGACCCUGCAGCCCACAGAGCAGAAGAGGCAGCAACAGUUUGCCCUUGUCAUGGCAGCAGCAGGAGAUCCACCGACCAUCGUUGAGGACGCCUAGCUCUCCUUUCUGCUGAAGCCAUAGGGCCUGAGAGAUUCAGCUAGCAUGUCGGUGACCAGGGAUGUCAUGGGAGAUGAACCUGUGGCCUCCUCAUACACAGUGUCCACCCUCCUCAGCACCCCCAUGCACCCUGGGACUUAUACAGGGCACCUUUUUGGUUUGUUUGUUUUAAAGCUUUCAGUGUAAACUGAGUGAUUACAUAACUUCUCUUGUAAUUCUUACAGGGUUGAAAAAAAAAAGACUCAAAACAAACAAUGGAUAUUCUAAGUCAGAUCGGUUCUGCCAAGGACAGACAGCCUCUUCAGCGGGGGCUCUGGAGGUGAGAAGGUCGGUGUUUGCCUUUUACAUUCUUCUGUGAUUCCGGAAGUAAAGAGAGACUUGUUACUUGGGCCAGAAAGGAAGAAGAAAAUGAAUGAAUGUUGAGCAUUUACCUUGUGUGAGUCCUGUGGAAAGAACAUUAAUGGUAUCAUGCCUGGGGAGAAGCUCUUUGUAGAACAUCCCACAAACUUUCUUGGCUCCUUAAAGAUUUUAUUAAAGUCUUUAUUAUUUUCACCUUUAGCGUAUCCUGUUCUUAGAGCAUCUGUGUUUUAGGUAAAAGCCGUAUCAAUCACCCAGGGGUAGUGCAACCCCCAGGACACUAGCUGGUUACUUGUGGCUUCUCUUUCUACCGAACCCUCAGCCAGCAGGCUGGACGCUCCCUCCAUGGGAUGUCAAAUUUGUCACUUUACACAUAAUUCUGAGUACACAGAGUCCAAGGAAGGCAGUCCUCAGGGUGUCUAGACAAGCAGCGUGAGCUUGUUGAGGUGAAUUUAUUUUUCUUCAGGUUCAGAGCCAUUUUUUCCCCCUCCUAACUGCAGAGUUCAGAGCCUCAUGGGUGAUUCUGAGUGUCAGGGAAGCCCAACAUUAUGAUUCUCAAGUUUAGGUUUAUUUCUUUUAAAAAUUCAUGAAAAGGAUUUAUAGAAAUGUCUUAAUUAAAGGCACGAUUCUGGCAGCCAGCACAACCCCAGGCAGGGCUGGUGAUACCUAAUGAACCGAUCAGGGAGGCUGCCUGAUUCCCUCCAGGGCCAACCCCCUGGGACUGCCCACCACCACCUUCUCUUGGAACAUCUCAGGGUCUAGGGCCACCCUGAGCACAGGGUUAGAUGUGAGACCCUCCAGACUCCUCUUCCUGGGGCCCUGGCCUCCAGAGGCACCAACAGGAAAGGGAGAAGUCAUCUGUUCUUCUGCACGCCAGAGGGUGGUGCCGUGGAGCAACAGGCUGGAGUGUCCCGUCCAGGGGACUGAGUUGGGGCUCCAAGUGGCCAGGGACAUGUAGUUCUUCAUCUCCAUGGGGGAGUGGAACUGCCCAUUUCUUAAGCAGUUCUGAUCAUGUAUCCAAAGACCAUAUACUGGAAUGGUAAUUGAGAAGCUGAUAAGGUGCUGGAUGCAAGUUAAUAUCCCGGAGACUCACCCCGAAUAACAAUCAGCUGAGACGUGCAAGACACAUGAUUCUACGGGGGAAUUUCAGUGUGCAGGGAACAAGAUGGUCAGACCAUGAGCACACAGCGGGGUUGCUCCUCCGCAUGGGUGCCUCUGCCCCUUCUCAGGCUGCAGCCCAGGUUUCCUCUUUAUAUUUCUACCCUGCCUGUCUUCUCUGCACUCCUAGCUGCUGCCUUGGCAUGGAGGCCCUGAGCACUGUGUCCAAAGCUUAGGGAUCAGAGGAGUUCCAUGGGGAACCUGGGGACAGGGAGCCCAGGCAGGUGCAGGGCAAGGUAGUGAGGUAGGGGAAGGUUCUAGAAGCCUAGGGGGUGGUGGGCCCUAGAGGUGGAGCUGUGGCA